GCCAGGCAUUGUGGCGGGUGCCUGUGGUCCCAGCUACUUAGGAGGCUGAGGCAGAAGACUCACUUGAGCCCAGGAGUUGGAGGUUGCUGUGAGCUGUGAUGCCAAAGCACUGUACCCAGGGGGAUAGCUUGAGGCUCUGUCUCAAAAGAAAAAAACAAUUCUAUUUUUCCUAUUUGAUUGCCUUUUUUUUUUGAGACAGAGCCUCAAGUUAUCGCCCCAGGAGGAGUGCUGUGACGUCACAGCUCACAGCAACCUCAAACUUCUGGGCUUAAGUGAUUCUCUUGCCUCCG
rnacentral:SRP_RNA from 1 species